AGUGAACGCUGGCGGUAGGCCUAACACAUGCAAGUCGAACGGCAGCACAGGAGAGCUUGCUCUCUGGGUGGCGAGUGGCGGACGGGUGAGGAAUACAUCGGAAUCUACUCUGUCGUGGGGGAUAACGUAGGGAAACUUACGCUAAUACCGCAUACGACCUACGGGUGACAGCAGGGGACCUUCGGGCCUUGCGCGAUUGAAUGAGCCGAUGUCGGAUUAGCUAGUUGGCGGGGUAAAGGCCCACCAAGGCGACGAUCCGUAGCUGGUCUGAGAGGAUGAUCAGCCACACUGGAACUGGGACACGGUCCAGACUCCUACGGGAGGCAGCAGUGUGGAAUAUUGGACAAUGGGCGCAAGCCUGAUCCAGCCAUACCGCGUGGGUGAAGAAGGCCUUCGGGUUGUAAAGCCCUUUUGUUGGGAAAGAAAUCCAGCUGGCUAAUACCCGGUUGGGAUGACGGUACCCAAAGAAUAAGCACCGGCUAACUUCGUGCCAGCCGCCGCCGUAA
rnacentral:rRNA from 1 species